GCAGCAGUCCCAACCCCAGCCCUCCUCGGGGGCCGCCACCCUCCGGGGGUGCAGACCUCCCCUAGGGACCAGGGUACCGCCCCCCCUGGGGCGGGGUGGGAGGAAGAGGAAGGGAAGGAGGAAGGCAGUGAGUGCGCCUGUGUGCUCCUACUCAAUCGUGAUCGUCUCCACCCACCCCCGCGUCUGCGGGCAACCCUAGGAACCUGCUAGACUCCCCGCCUCAACUGCGCGGCUCCCAGCAACCCGCGCCCACUUUCCUACAGACCUCUACCCCAGACCAGCCAACCCUAUCCACCUCCUCCGAUGAACAGACCUGAAGGUUAAGUGCCCGGAGGCUCUGGUGAGGGAGAGCCAGCUGAGAGGUGAUGGAGGGUCGGGGCCCUUUGUGAACCACCCUGUUGGGCACCUGUUCCUCUCUAGCACGGACCCUAGUACUUAGCGGACCACUAAGGAUGACAAUUGGGCAGAGUAACACACCAAAGAACUUCUGGUGGUGUUCUGGCUGCUUCUUGCCACUCUCGAAGACUUGUGCCCAUUGCUGGAGCCUCAUAGCUUCUUCUGGAUCGAACCGUUGCUACUGAUUCAUGUUUGGUGUUUUGCUGGUGGACUGGACUGCUGACAGUGAAGAAUGGAAUCACCCCAAAGAACUGUUUCUAAACAGAUCUGCAACAAAAAGAUUACAUGCUGCUGUGAACCACAGUCAGCACCGAACUGCAGAACAUUCAGGACUCAUUACGACAGACCCCAGAUGGCAUCAGACGCGAUGGCUUGUUUUACAGCAAGAGAGGCAGCGAGUCUGUAACCGUGGAACCCACUGGUUCUAUAAGUCAGUUCCCUCUGGGGAAGAGAAGUAAGGUCUGCUAAUGUCCUGGAGGAAUCACAGGAGCCUAAGCAGGAAAAGAAAAGUUCUGUGAGAGACAAAGAGGCAUGUGCUCUGCUCUAAGGCAGCCCACAGCACAUACUACUCAUUGUCUCUGUCAAGGCCACUAAAGUUGUUGGUGUGGCCUGACCUGAAGUCAAGUGUGUCGAGAGGCUCCCCAUCUGAGGAUAUAGUGAGGUGGAACAUGAGAGCAAAAUCACCCACUCCACAGCUCUCUCCUGGGUUGGAUGCCACUUUGUGGGGUUUUAUGCAAUUCUAUCUGAUUACCUUGACCAACUGAUGCGUUCUGCUCCCGUAACCUUGCCUCUUUCUCCCCAUUUUGGAAACCCUUGAACCCAGAGCUCUGUAGAAGCCUUGUCUUCCUCACCUUCAAUGCUGACCUCUCAAAUCCUGCCUUAGGGGGAGGGCAGCCUGUUG